GAUCGAUGGCUCAGGAUGAACGCUGGCGGCGUGCCUAAUACAUGCAAGUCGAGCGAGAACCUCGAAACUGAGAUUCGUCAAUGCGGAGAAGGGGAAAGCGGCGGACGGGUGAGUAACGCGUAGGCAACCUGCCCUUAGCAGAGGGAUAGCCAUUGGAAACGAUGAUUAAAACCUCAUAAUGCUGGAGCGACACAUGUCGCCUUUGCCAAAGAUUUAUCGGCUAAGGAUGGGCCUGCGUCUGAUUAACUAGUUGGUGAGGUAACGGCUCACCAAGGUGACGAUCAGUAGCCGACCUGAGAGGGUGAUCGGCCACAUUGGAACUGAGACACGGUCCAAACUUCUACGGAAGGCAGCAGUAAGGAAUCUUGCACAAUGGGGGGAAAAACCCCUGAUGCAGCAACGCCGCGUGAACGAUGAAGGCCUUCGGGUUGUAAAGUUCUGAUCUUGGGGAAGAAGAAGUGACGGUACCCAAGGAGAAAGCCCCGGCUAACUACGUGCCAGCCGCGGC
rnacentral:rRNA from 1 species